rnacentral:rRNA from 1 species
CCUACGGGGGGCAGCAGUGAGGAAUAUUGGUCAAUGGACGGGAGUCUGAACCAGCCAAGUAGCGUGAAGGAUGACUGCCCUAUGGGUUGUAAACUUCUUUUAUAUGGGAAUAAAACGUUCCACGUGUGGGAUUUUGUAUGUACCAUAUGAAUAAGGAUCGGCUAACUCCGUGCCAGCAGCCGCGGUAAUACGGAGGAUCCGAGCGUUAUCCGGAUUUAUUGGGUUUAAAGGGAGCGUAGGUGGAUUGUUAAGUCAGUUGUGAAAGUUUGGGGCUCAACCGUAAAAUUGCAGUUGAAACUGGCAGUCUUGAGUACAGUAGAGGUGGGCGGAAUUCGUGGUGUAGCGGUGAAAUGCUUAGAUAUCACGAAGAACUCCGAUUGCGAAGGCAGUUCACUGGACUGCAACUGACACUGAGGCACGAAAGUGUGGGUAUCAAACAGGAUUAGAUACCCGGGUAGUC